UUUCCCUACCCCUCUCUCUUCACCUGGCUCACUCUCACUCAGGUGCAUGCCUCCUCCUAGCCACCUGUUUGUUCCCCCAGGAAGGGGCCUUCGCUGACCGCACUGAUCCGGAUUAGGUUUCCCUCCCAGAUACUCCCACAGCCCCUUUCCAUUCCUCAGUAGUCACACUCAGUGACGCCAUGUUGUAGUGGCUGAUUAUCAAUGGAUCCUAGGACUUAUCACAGAGCAAGAAGACAGAAGGAACGGAUUCAGCCCCACAGAUGUGCAAACACACUUGCGUUCAUGAACAGACGACUCACCUUCUCCUGGAAAAGCAGAUGAAUCAGUAUGAUGGCUCUCUGAAAACCAAUUCAACGUCUUAGGGGAAAAUCACCAACUGUGAUGAGAAGGGGGUCUUCGGGGCUAGUGAGCCAACACAUGAGGAGGCUGAGCAAGGCUGAAGAGCAUCAUUUUUCUCUUGAAAUGUAAGGAUUAUCCCUUCUGGCCAUGUUGGAAGGUAGACACACAGCUGAGUAGUGACUAGGGCUUCCAAGGUCAUCAAACAGCUUGGCAAUGACACCAAAUAUUUCCAGAUUCCCUGCCCCUGAGAUGCUCAGAGUCUCUUCACAAAUUUUUUAAGUGAUUAAAACAACAACAACAAAACCUC